rnacentral:rRNA from 1 species
GUCUACGUAUAAGCAUUUAUACUGUGAAACUGCGAAUGGCUCAUUAAAUCAGUUAUUGUUUAUUUGAUGGUACCUUUACUACUUGGAUAACCGUGGUAAUUCUAGAGCUAAUACAUGCUAAAAACCCCGACUCAAGAAGGGGUGUAUUUAUUAGAUUCAAACCAGUGUCCCUCGGGACUUUUUGGUGACUCAUAAUAACUUAACGCAGCGCAUGGCCUUCGUGCCGGCGCGGGAUCAUUCAAAUACCUGCCCUAUCAAGUUUCGAUGUGAGGGUAGUGUCCUCACAUGCUUUUGACGGGUAACGGGGAAUUAGGGUUCGACUCCGGAGAGGGAGCCUGAGAAACGGCUACCACAUCCAAGGAAGGCAGCAGGCGCGCAAAUUACCCAAUCCCGAUACGGGGAGGUAGUGACAAGAAAUACCGAUUCAGGAUCUUAUUGGAUCUUGAGAUUGGAAUGAGUACAAUUCAAACCCAUUAACGAGGAACAACUAGAGGGCAAGUCUGGUGCCAGCAGCCGCGGUAAUUCCAGCUCUAGUAGCGUAUAUUAAAAUUGUUGCAGUUAAAACGCUCGUAGUUGAACUUUGGGCUUGGCUGGCUGGUCCGCCUCACCGCGAGCACUGGUCCGGCUGGGCCUUUCCUCUUGGGGAUCCACAUGCCCUUCACUUGGGUGUGUUGGGGAACCAGGACUUUUACUUUGAAAAAAUUAGGGUGUUCAAAGCAGGCAUUUGCUCGAAUACAUUAGCAUGGGAUAAUAGAAUAGGACGUGUGGUCUUAUUUUGUUGGUUUCUAGGACCGCCGUAAUGAUUGAUAGGGAUAGUUGGGGGCAUCGGUAUUCAAUUGUCAGAGGUGAAAUUCUUGGAUUUAUUGAAGACCAACUACUGCGAAAGCAUUUGCCAAAGAUCCGUCGUAGUCUUAACCGUAAACUAUGCCGACUAGGGAUCGGGUGGUGUUCCAUUU